rnacentral:lncRNA from 1 species
UCAAUUGUUUUAUUGCAUAAUUCUUGAUGCAAGCUUCACCGACACUCUUCAUUUGACACUAACCACAAUAUUUCCAUACUGGUACUAAUUCUGCAGCCUUUUGCCACUUUUUUUACUCUUUUUCAGGUUUGCCUUCUCUGUCUCAAAGUACUUGUUGCAAGGAAGCACGCCUAGCAUGUGAUAUAUGGUUUGCUUGAAGCUAGAACAUAAACCAACAAAAUCCAACAGGAACCAUCGGAACCUUUGUCUUCAUAAUGGUGAUUUUUCCCAAGACAUGCCACUUCGACUGAUGUAUCUCCCAAGAAAAGCAGAAUAGAAAAUUAAGAGAAGUUGCCUAGAAGGCGCGUCACAGCUUCUCUAGGCGACUUGCAUCUUCCUAGUCAGCAACAAGAUGCCAAAUCUGGGUAUUUUGGACCACGGACAUGCCAGAAGAGGUCUGAUCGACAAAACAUUACCCAGGCAAGGACAGGUCCAUACAGAAACGCACUGCUAGGCUGCAACGGAAUCUCGAUCCACACUGAGGAUGAAAACAACACCUUUUCUUCACAAGCUCAAGGGUGAGGGCAGCCAAGUACAGCAGAAGAAAUUAAUGCAAACAUAGGAAGAUGGGCAAUGCCCAAUUGUGGCCGUGGUGGGCAGCUAACUAGAUAGCUGCUUUUAUUGUAAGCACUCGACACCAAGUUUUUGAACUGACAUGCACGACACCUCUAGCCCUC